GACGUAGGUGGCGAACGUUAUCCGGAAUUACUGGGCGUAAAGCGCGCGUAGGUGGCCAUUUAAGUCCGCUGUGAAAGUCAGAGGCUCAACCUUUGAAAGCCGGUGGAUACUGGAUGGCUAGAGUACGGAAGAGGCGAGUGGAAUUCCUGGUGUAGCGGUGGAAUGCGCAGAUAUCAGGAGGAACACCAAUAGCGAAGGCAGCUCGCUGGGACGUUACUGACACUAAGGCGCGAAAGCGUGGGGAGCGAACAGG
rnacentral:rRNA from 1 species